rnacentral:lncRNA from 1 species
AGCUCAGCGAUCGAGGUGUGGGCCGCGCGGCGCGGAAUGGAAGCGCGGGGAGUGCUCGGCGGAAGCCCGGGGUGCAGCGGGAUCGCCGGCUGAGGCCCGGGGAGGUUUAUUCACCCCGAGUCCAGCCCUCCAUUUUGUUGUCGUCAUCUCACUUUGUUUUUUAAGAUAAGUACUCACUAUGUAGUCUGGGCUGGUUUUGAACUCAUGACCUCCUGUCUCUGCUUCCAGGUGCUGGAAUGACAGAUGAUGGGUGUGCACCACUGCAUGUGACUUCUAUCUACUUCACAAGUAUCAAUCACUUUUAUCUUGAUAUUUCAGGUGAAAUUCUACCUUUAGUAGAGGAGGAAGAUUUAUUUAUUUAUUUAUUUAUUUAUUUAUUUAUUUAUUUAUUUAUUUAUUUAUUUAUUUAUUUAUUUAUUAUUCCAUGUGUGUGAGUAUGCUGUCGUUGUCUUCAGACGCCAGAAGAAGGCAUCGGAUCCCCAUUACAGAUGGUUGUGAGCCACCAUGUGGUUGCUGGGAAUUGAACUCUUAUGGAAGAGCAGUCAGUGCUCUUAACCGCAGAGCCAUCUCUCCAGCCCAGAAGAGGAAGAGUUAAUUCAUUUCUGGAAUCUUGGGCUACUGAGCCCCUACUUCCUGUCCCAUUUAUUUAUUUAUUAAAUAUAUUCUGAGACAGGUUCUGACCAUGUCACCCUUGCUGGCCUCAAACACCUUAUGUAGAUCAGGUUGGCCUCGAACUCACAGAGAUCUGCUUGCUUCUAUUGCCUGAAUCUUUGGCCAUCGUGCCCAGGGUUUCCCUGUAAUUGACACUUGUCCGUGAGUUCUAUGGCUAGAGUGUUCAUGCUCUACGAUUUGUCCCUAUGACCAAGCUGGAUCCACCCCCCAGGAAUUUGGAGGACACCAGGCAAGUGCAGAACCAGAACUCUGGCAUUGGACAGGAGAAGAGAAUGCUCUGAAGCUGACUGCUCACCAGCUGGGUGGGCCGGGAACCUCGAGGAUUUAAUUUAAAACAGUAACAGUUAUUGAGUCUCUUGGACUUCCUGCAGAAGCAAAUGGAAACGUUCUAUGGGGAAACCACUCCAAGUUCCAACAGAUACCUUCUAAGGAAGACGAGAAAUGGUUUGAGGUUAAAAAAAAUAUGAGGGAAUAGACCCGAGUUCAAAAACAGCAGAGCAAACGGCAACAGAGACCUCAGCUCUCGGGAGUGGCGUGUGCGUCACGAAAGCUUCGUAUGUUUAAAGAAAUGAAUGAUGAGUGUGCUUAUAUAGAUGAAAAUUAAAAAAAAAAAAAAAGACUAGAAACCACCCAAGCAGAUUUCCAAAAGAGUCAAAUAGACAUCAUAGGUGAAAAAUAUGGUUACCGGUCAAACAGAAAAUCUACUGACAUCCAGAGGAGAAUAUGUUGCAGCUCUAAGUUCCAUUGGAUAGCAUGAAACGUGAGUGUGCGGAAAGACGAUUGGUGGAGAAAUGACAAACUACAUGAAAUAAAAUGCGGAUGUAAAUCC